AUUGAACGCUGGCGGCAGGCCUAACACAUGCAAGUCGAACGAGUGGCGGACGGGUGAGUAAUGUCUGGGAAACUGCCUGAUGGAGGGGGAUAAAUACUGGAAACGGUAGCUAAUACCGCAUACCAUCGGAUGUGCCCAGAUGGGAUUAGAUAGUAGGUGGGGUAACGGCUCACCUAGGCGACGAUCCCUAGCUGGUCUGAGAGGAGGACCAGCCACGUGGGAACUGAGACACGGUCCAGACUCCUACGGGAGGCAGCAGUGGGGAAUAUUGCACAAUGGGCGCAAGCCUGAUGCAGCCAUGCCGCGGUUAUGAAGAGGGCCUUCGGGUUGUAAAGUACUUUCAGCGGGGAGGCGUUACCCGCAGAAGAAGCACCGGCUAACUCCGUGCCAGCAGCCGCGGUAAUAC
rnacentral:rRNA from 1 species